UCUGGAGGGGAGGGCAUGGAAUUCAGUGUGUAGUUUUUCUGCUCUCUGCAGAGGACAUCUUGGAUAUGGGUGACCUGUGACCCAUAUGUGUCAUGACCGGGACAUGCAUACUCUGACCUAGUGGCCAAAGCAGGAGUCGGGCUGGGUCAGAUACCAGGAGGUGAGAGUCCAAGAGAGACCAGAGGGCAACCCAAGAGUCAAGUGUCAGGAGGCAGGCAGGGUCAGGUUACCAGGAGAUCAGAAGCAGGAGACAAACGUGAGAACAGAACCACGGAUCGAUAACCAGAGUUAGGCCAGGUCAGGAUACCAGGAUGUCAAGCAAUGGGAGCAGGAAGCACAAGGCACACAGUCCAGAGCAAGGGCCAAGAAACAGGACGUCCAGCUUGCGAGCAGGCCUGUCUGUGUGGAGCUGCAGGACUGGUGCGCCAGCUGGCAAGGUUGACUUGUGGAUAAUUCUCCUGGAGGUAUUCUCAGACCGCUGCCAGCUCAGGUUCUGACAUGGCAUAAACUGGUCCGAAUGGUAUUUUGGCUCCAGGCUUCAGCUCUAUUGGGAAGUCAUAGUCCCAGGUGGAGGAGCCAUCACUUGGAGUGGUGAAGAUCAUCUUUGACAGGAUGAUAGACCACUAGGCCCCUUCAUGAGGCCCAGUCUAUUUCCACCCUCUUCUACCUUUUCCAGUGGAUUCCCCAGAGAUUAUGUUAUUCAUCAGGGGUAACAGGGAAUGACUACUCAAUGAUGGAGUACUAUGGGGAAGUCAAUAUAGUUCCUUGGGGAUAUUUUGGGUGGGGAACUAGAAAUAGGGAGCCUAUGUUUGUUUCCUCACUGAUGUUCCCUUUCUGUCCUAUGUUUUUCAGCACUCUGGAGGCUGUACAUGUUCCUCUGGAUGGGUUGCAGGCCCCCAGGCAACCCAGAAUAAAGGGAAUUUUGAAAGGGAGACUCGUGUGUUAGACUGCACAAUCUGUAAUUUUUCCUUAAUUUUUAUUUUGGCAGAGGAAUCUCUGUUGGUCCCACUGAUG